rnacentral:rRNA from 1 species
AACGAACGCUGGCGGCAUGCCUAACACAUGCAAGUCGAACGAGAAAGUCCUUCGGGAUGAGUACAGUGGCGCACGGGUGAGUAAUGCAUAGGAACGUACCUUUAGGUGGGGAACAACUACGGGAAACCGUAGCUAAUACCGCAUGAUCAGGAAACUGCAAAAGUGGCCUCUACUUGUAAGCUACUGCCUAAAGAGCGGCCUAUGUCCCAUUAGCUAGUUGGCGGGGUAAUGGCCCACCAAGGCGACGAUGGGUAGCUGGUCUGAGAGGACGAUCAGCCACACUGGAACUGAGACACGGUCCAGACUCCUACGGGAGGCAGCAGUGGGGAAUAUUGCACAAUGGGCGAAAGCCUGAUGCAGCAAUGCCGCGUGAGUGAAGAAGGCCUUCGGGUCGUAAAGCUCUUUCGAUAGAGAAGAAGUGCAGGCAUGUGAAUAAUAUGUUUGUAUGACGGUAUCUGAAGAAGAAGCACCGGCUAACUCUGUGCCAGCAGCCGCGGUAAUACAGAGGGUGCGAGCGUUGUUCGGAAUCACUGGGCGUAAAGAGCACGUAGGCGGGCUUACCAGCCAAUUGUGAAAUCCCCGAGCUCAACUUGGGAAUUGCAGUUGGAACAGUAAGUCUUGAAUUUCUCAGAGGGUGACGGAAUUCCUGGUGUAGAAGUGAAAUUCAUAGAUAUCAGGAGGAACACCGGAGGCGAAGGCGGUUGCCUGGGGGUAAAUUGACGCUGAGGUGCGAAAGCGUGGGUAGCAAACAGGAUUAGAUACCCUGGUAGUCCACGCCGUAAACGAUGGAUACUAGGUGCUCGAAUGUUUAACCGUUUGGGUACCGUAGCAAACGCAUUAAGUAUCCCGCCUGGGGAGUACGGUCGCAAGGCUAAAACUCAAAGGAAUUGACGGGGGCCCGCACAAGCGGUGGAGUAUGUGGUUUAAUUCGAAGCAACGCGCAGAACCUUACCUAGGCUUAACAUUUGUCGACAACCCUAGAGAUAGGGCUUUCCCUUCGGGGACGGCAGGAUAGGUGCUGCAUGGCUGUCGUCAGCUCGUGUUGUGAAAUGUUCGGUUAAGUCCGGCAACGAGCGCAACCCCUGUCCUUAGUUACCAUCAUUAAGUUGGGGACUCUAAGGAGACCGCCGUGUCAAAACGGAGGAAGGCGGGGAUGACGUCAAGUCCUCAUGGCCCUUACGCCUAGGGCUACACACGUACUACAAUGGCAGAGACAAAGCGCAGCAAUACCGCGAGGUGGAGCUUAAUCGCAAAAACACUGUCACAGUCCGGAUUGAAGUCUGCAACUCGACUUCAUGAAGUUGGAAUCGCUAGUAAUCGCAGAUCAGCAUGCUGCGGUGAAUACGUUCCCGGGCCUUGUACACACCGCCCGUCACACCACGAAAGUGGUCUUAACCAGAAGUGGGUGAGCUAACUUCGGGAGCAGCCUACCAAGGUUGAGGCCGUGAUUGGGGUG